rnacentral:rRNA from 1 species
CUACGUGCCAGCAGCCGCGGUAAUACGUAGGGUGCGAGCGUUAAUCGGAAUUACUGGGCGUAAAGCGAGCGCAGACGGUUACUUAAGCAGGAUGUGAAAUCCCCGGGCUCAACCUGGGAACUGCGUUCCGAACUGGGUGACUAGAGUGUGUCAGAGGGAGGUAGAAUUCCACGUGUAGCAGUGAAAUGCGUAGAGAUGUGGAGGAAUACCGAUGGCGAAGGCAGCCUCCUGGGAUAACACUGACGUUCAUGCUCGAAAGCGUGGGUAGCAAACAGGAUUAGAUACCCUGGUAGUCCACGCCGUAAACGAUGAGUGCUAGGUGUUAGACCCUUUCCGGGGUUUAGUGCCGUAGCUAACGCAUUAAGCACUCCGCCUGGGGAGUACGACCUCAAGGUUGAAACUCAAAGGAAUUGACGGGGGCCCGCACAAGCGGUGGAGCAUGUGGUUUAAUUCGAAGCAACGCGAAGAACCUUACCAGGUCUUGACAUCCCUCUGACCGCUCUAGAGAUAGAGCUUUC